AUUGAACGCUGGCGGCAGGCCUAACACAUGCAAGUCGAGCGGAUGAGGGGAGCUUGCUUCCUGAUUCAGCGGCGGACGGGUGAGUAAUGCCUAGGAAUCUGCCCGAUAGUGGGGGACAACGUUUCGAAAGGAACGCUAAUACCACAUACGUCCCACGGGAGAAAGUGGGGGAUCUUCGGACCUUACGCUAUCGGAUGAGCCUAGGUCGGAUUAGCUAGUUGGUGAGGUAAUGGCUCACCAAGGCGACGAUCCGUAACUGGUCUGAGAGGAUGAUCAGUCACACCGGAACUGAGACACGGUCCAGACUCCUACGGGAGGCAGCAGUGGGGAAUAUUGGACAAUGGGCGAAAGCCUGAUCCAGCCAUGCCGCGUGUGUGAAGAAGGUCUUCGGAUUGUAAAGCACUUUAAGUUGGGAGGAAGGGCAGUCAGUUAAUACCUUGCUGUCUUGACGUUACCAACAGAAUAAGCACCGGCUAACUUCGUGCCAGCCGCCGCUGUAAGAC
rnacentral:rRNA from 1 species